CAGCAGCCGCGGGAAUACGUAGGUCCCGAGCGUUGUCCGGAUUUAUUGGGCGUAAAGCGAGCGCAGGCGGUUAGAUAAGUCUGAAGUUAAAGGCUGUGGCUUAACCAUAGUAUGCUUUGGAAACUGUUUAACUUGAGUGCAGAAGGGGAGAGUGGAAUUCCAUGUGUAGCGGUGAAAUGCGUAGAUAUAUGGAGGAACACCGGUGGCGAAAGCGGCUCUCUGGUCUGUAACUGACGCUGAGGCUCGAAAGCGUGGGGAGCAAACAGGAUUAGAGACCCGUGUAGUCCCUGUCUCUUAUACC
rnacentral:rRNA from 1 species